rnacentral:lncRNA from 1 species
AGUCCCACAUCGGUUGAGAUAUGGCCUGACUAAGUGUUUAUAUACUAGAGGCAAUCCUCACCUUACAAGCCGGUUUUGUAAGGAUGAGUUAGGCCCAAUACUCAAUUCUAAGAUGGUAUCAGAGCCUCUCCAAUAUCCAUUUCUAAGAUGGUAUCAGAGCCUCUCCCCGAUCCGUUGGGCCACCUGUUAUCAGGUUUCCGCUAUCGGGCCGCCUACCGUUUAUAUCCACGCACCAAGCCCAAUAGUGCUGGGCGUGAGGGGGUGUGUUAAGAGUCCCACAUCGGUUGAGAUAUGGCCUGACUAAGUGUUUAUAUACUAGAGGCAAUCCUCACCUUACAAGCCGGUUUUGUAAGGAUGAGUUAGGCCCAAUACUCAAUUCUAAGA